GAGAAGCCCCAUCAACCAAGAUAUUUUCUCCACUGCUCUGGAUACAGCAUGGCUGUUGUUUACUGCUUUCACGACACGGUCAUGUGUUUGUCUUCUGAGCUCUCCGUCACUUGCGACCCGAACCUUGGCGAGAAGGUGCACGGCGAAUUGGCAGGUGCAUGCAACAACGGCAUCCCAGCCACGCGUCAGCCCGUGCCACACCGGUGAAUGUUGUCAACAUUCUUCUCAUGGCUUUGUGGCCGCACCACGGAAUCCAGACAACAUGAAGCUGGACUUACCCUCUAGAAUCUGAGACAGAAAUGCUGUGAAGUCGUUAAAGCUUGAUGCGUGUGUGGUGAAGAACGCUGCGAUGUUCCGAAGUCGGUUUCGGAUACGUUUCAAGUAGAGCGUCCACAUGGAUUCGGCGUACGACCGCACCUUCUGCACUCCUGAAAUAGUACAAGAAAGGAAAGAUGCCACGGGAGGAUUACAGACAUGACAAGGAGGAACAAGAGAGCCUGGUCAUGCAGUGGAAGCGAUGAAUGGAUACCAGUCAUGGCUGACACCGAGGGAUACCAGAAUGGGAUGCGCGGGGAUGGCUGGACAAUAUGCACUUUCUCUGCCAGAACCACCGAGCAUCAUGCUGGUGGGCAAGGUUCGUCUACAACGUGGCGCCUGCGGCUAGCAGAAAGACCUCUGCUAGUGUACCGUUGCAGCAACGCCAGACGGUCCUGUAGUUGUGCGGACACACAACAGCGUACUCUACUAACAUACACAGUAUACGGGUGGAAAUGUGCAGAAGUCGUGCAGCGUUCAACAUCCGCACAGUACGGAGAAAACUCGAAAACAUGUCCAACAGCUGUCGCCCGUGACCUGACGGGUUUGACGUUUGAACAAUGCAUAGUGCCGUGUAGUAUAGCUGCAGGAAGAAUGUCAUUCUGGAACCGUCGCAUUCGGCCACCCAUGCUACCACUAGUAACUGCCCAUGCAGCUUGUCAAGCAGCAGAGAGCUACAAGUACACUGUAAAGUAAGAACAGCAGCAUGCCAUACUGGAUACAUGUGCUGAUGCAGUCAGUACGGACAACCAGUUACCUGGUAUCAUGCACUCUGGCUACAAGUGCCUGUUUGACCUGUCGCUGUCAAUACCAAACACUGCCUGUCAACACAUUUAUGGACGCGUGCAGCCCCCUGGCUAUGCCCAGUGGACCAAUGAUCUGCCAAUGUCAUCCACUGACGAAGCGGUUUUCAGGACCAGGGUUCACGUGGUCCAGUGUGCUUUGUCACUGAUUGUUGCGGGCCAUGCGUGCAUGCACACGCAUAGCAUUUGUGCCACAUGAUGCACGAGAGAUUAACACAGUUCAGCUUGCAGUCCCGCGUGGUCAUCGUAGUGUGCAAGCUUUGAAAUCACCCAUGUCCACGUGUAGCAUGCGAGGGAAGCUGUGUUUUCUCCACAAGGCCACUGUGAGUAACUCUUACAGAAUAAAGUAUGUGUGCAGAUCCAACUCAAGCUCACUUUCUAAGUCGGUUGUACUGCACGGAGCCUUCGCUAUGCACCACAUAACCUGAACAAACCAUGAUUACACUGCAUGUUUUACAGCCCAGGUCUUGAAAUGAUCCAUGGGUGCAGUGUGUCAAGGCUACAUGUGUGCCAGUCAUGCUCAGCUCCGUGUGAUGUGCUUCUGCUUGCCGCAUGACUACAUCAUGCCUUGUAGUGCCACUCUGCACUGGCACAGGACUAGCAUGGCUAUGCUUUGCAAUGUCAUCAUUGCUACACAGUAAUCCAGUUGGCAAACUAUAAACUGCCAGGAUAUGCCCUUGCAGGAUCCCAGUGCA